rnacentral:rRNA from 1 species
AUGGUGGCCUUUAGGGAUGUUUUGGAGGUCUAUGAUUUGGUUGAUCUAGGAUUCAUUGGAGUUCCAUUCACAUAUGAUAAUAAACGGAGUGGUGCAAGUAAUGUAAAAGUCCGGUUGGACAGAGCAGUGGCAACCAAUACAUGGAGGAAUCUGUUUGCGUACUCUUCGGUUGUUCAUAUUCCUUCCCCUUGUUCGGAUCAUAUAGCUAUUCUGGUGAGAGGUUCAACUGACCCGGGUCCGACAGGGAAAAGCAGCAGAAGGUACGAGCUCUUUUGGGAACGAGAUCCUACGCUGCCAGAGGUAGUAAGGGAGGCAUGGGAGGCGGUAGGCGGUGCACAGAAUCUGGCGCAGCUGCGGGAUGCUCUAUCUAAGACCAUGAGCUCGUUGGGGGUUUGGAGCAGGAAAUUUGGAAAUAUAAGGAGAGAGUUGGCAAAGUCUCGAACACAACUAGAAGAAUUGAUGCACAUGAACGCUGAUCGAGCGGAAAUCAGGGUGAUAACUGACAAAAUUAAUGAACUAUUGUAUCAGGAGGAAAUGUUAUGGCUACAACGUUCAAGAAUUACAUGGCUGAAGGAAGGUGAUAGAAACACGAAGUACUUCCAGAGCAAGGCAGUUUGGAGAGCGAGGAAGAAUAAAAUUCGGGACCUCACUCAUAGCAUUGGGGUGGUGCAUACAGAUAGUGUGGUGAUGGGGAAGAUGGCAAAUGAGUAUUUUCAAAACAUCUUCAAGGCCAACCAUCUAUAA